rnacentral:rRNA from 1 species
CAGUAGCCGCGGUAAUACGUAAGGUGCAAGCGUUAAUCGGAAUUACUGGGCGUAAAGCGUGCGCAGGCGGUUCGUUAAGACAGAUGUGAAAUCCCCGGGCUUAACCUGGGAACUGCAUUUGUGACUGGCGGGCUAGAGUAUGGCAGAGGGGGGUAGAAUUCCACGUGUAGCAGUGAAAUGCGUAGAGAUGUGGAGGAAUACCGAUGGCGAAGGCAGCCCCCUGGGCCAAUACUGACGCUCAUGCACGAAAGCGUGGGGAGCAAACAGGAUUAGAUACCCCGGUAGUCCCUGUCUCUUAUAC